CCCUUAGAUGUUCUGGGCCGCACGCGCGCUACAAUGAUGAAUUCAACGAGUUUAUAACCUUGGUUAAAAAGCCUGGGUAAUCUUUUGAACUUUCGUCGUGAUGGGGCUAGACCCUUGCAAUUAUUGGUCUCCAACGAGGAAUUCCUAGUAAACGCAAGUCAUCAGCUUGCAUUGAUUACGUCCCUGCCCUUUGUACACACCGCCCGUCGCACCUACCGAUUGAAUGGUCCGGUGAAAUCUUCGGAUUGAGACUUUGUUUUCUUCACGGAAAACGCUGUUUUAAAAAGUUGAUUAAACCUUACCAUUUAGAGGAAGGUGAAGUCGUAACA
rnacentral:rRNA from 1 species